UACGUAGGGGGCGAGCGUUGUCCGGAUUCAUUGGGCGUAAAGAGCUCGUAGGCGGUUUGGUAAGUCGGAUGUGAAAGCCCCAGGCUUAACCUGGAGAUGCCACUCGAUACUGCCAUGGCUAGAGUCCGGUAGGGGACCACGGAAUUCCUGGUGUAGCGGUGAAAUGCGCAGAUAUCAGGAGGAACACCAGUAGCGAAGGCGGUGGUCUGGGCCGGUACUGACGCUGAGGAGCGAAAGCGUGGGGAGCGAACAGG
rnacentral:rRNA from 1 species